GACGAACGCUGGCGGCGUGCUUAACACAUGCAAGUCGAACGGAAAGGCCCUGCUUUUGUGGGGUGCUCGAGUGGCGAACGGGUGAGUAACACGUGAGUAACCUGCCCUUGACUUUGGGAUAACUUCAGGAAACUGGGGCUAAUACCGGAUAGGAGCUCCUGCUGCAUGGUGGGGGUUGGAAAGUUUCGGCGGUUGGGGAUGGACUCGCGGCUUAUCAGCUUGUUGGUGGGGUAGUGGCUUACCAAGGCUUUGACGGGUAGCCGGCCUGAGAGGGUGACCGGCCACAUUGGGACUGAGAUACGGCCCAGACUCCUACGGGAGGCAGCAGUGGGGAAUAUUGCACAAUGGGCGGAAGCCUGAUGCAGCAACGCCGCGUGCGGGAUGGCGGCCUUCGGGUUGUAAACCGCUUUCGCCUGUGGCGAAGCGUGAGUGACGGUAAUGGGUAAAGAAGCACCGGCUAACUACGUG
rnacentral:rRNA from 1 species